rnacentral:rRNA from 1 species
AUCCGGAAUCAUUGUGCGUAAAGCGUCUGUUGGUGGUUUAUUAAGUCAACUGUUAAAUCUUGAGGCUCCACUUCAAUAUCGUAGUCGAAACUAUUAGACUAGAGUAUAGUAGAUAUAACGGGGAUUUCAAGUGUAGCGGUCAAAUGCGUAGGUAUUUGAAAGAACACUGAUUU